AUUGAACGCUGGCGGCAUGCCUUACACAUGCAAGUCGAACGGUAACGGGCCUUCGGGUGCCGACGAGUGGCGAACGGGUGAGUAAUGCAUCGGAACGUACCUUCCAGUGGGGGAUAACGUAGCGAAAGUUACGCUAAUACCGCAUAUUCUGUGAGCAGGAAAGCAGGGGAUCGCAAGACCUUGCGCUGAUUGAGCGCCCGAUGUCAGAUUAGCUAGUUGGUGAGGUAAAGGCUCACCAAGGCGACGAUCUGUAGCGGGUCUGAGAGGAUGAUCGGCCACACUGGGACUGAGACACGGCCCAGACUCCUACGGGAGGCAGCAGUGGGGAAUUUUGGACAAUGGGGGCAACCCUGAUCCAGCCAUGCCGCGUGAGUGAAGAAGGCCUUCGGGUUGUAAAGCUCUUUCGGCCGGGAAGAAAUCGCACAGGCUAAUACCUUGUGUGGAUGACGGUACCGGAAUAAGAAGCACCGGCUAACUACGUGCCAGCCGCCGCCGUAAUAC
rnacentral:rRNA from 1 species